GUAAUUUCUAUGUAACUAUUGUAAGCAUGCAGUGGGUGACAUCAUAGAUGGCAGGUAUGUGUCACUGAGGCUGCUACGCUCAGUGAUGUAAAUCCCGGAGGUAAGUAGUGACCAGUGGUGGUAGAUCACUGAGUUGGUGGUAGCUGGAAUU